rnacentral:rRNA from 1 species
UGUAUAAUGGGUCAGCGACUUAUAUUCUGUAGCAAGGUUAACCGAAUAGGGGAGCCGAAGGGAAACCGAGUCUUAACUGGGCGUUAAGUUGCAGGGUAUAGACCCGAAACCCGGUGAUCUAGCCAUGGGCAGGUUGAAGGUUGGGUAACACUAACUGGAGGACCGAACCGACUAAUGUUGAAAAAUUAGCGGAUGACUUGUGGCUGGGGGUGAAAGGCCAAUCAAACCGGGAGAUAGCUGGUUCUCCCCGAAAGCUAUUUAGGUAGCGCCUCGUGAAUUCAUCUCCGGGGGUAGAGCACUGUUUCGGCAAGGGGGUCAUCCCGACUUACCAACCCGAUGCAAACUGCGAAUACCGGAGAAUGUUAUCACGGGAGACACACGGCGGGUGCUAACGUCCGUCGUGAAGAGGGAAACAACCCAGACCGCCAGCUAAGGUCCCAAAGUCAUGGUUAAGUGGGAAACGAUGUGGGAAGGCCCAGACAGCCAGGAUGUUGGCUUAGAAGCAGCCAUCAUUUAAAGAAAGCGUAAUAGCUCACUGGUCGAGUCGGCCUGCGCGGAAGAUGUAACGGGGCUAAACCAUGCACCGAAGCUGCGGCAGCGACGCUUAUGCGUUGUUGGGUAGGGGAGCGUUCUGUAAGCCUGUGAAGGUGUGCUGUGAGGCAUGCUGGAGGUAUCAGAAGUGCGAAUGCUGACAUAAGUAACGAUAAAGCGGGUGAAAAGCCCGCUCGCCGGAAGACCAAGGGUUCCUGUCCAACGUUAAUCGGGGCAGGGUGAGUCGACCCCUAAGGCGAGGCCGAAAGGCGUAGUCGAUGGGAAACAGGUUAAUAUUCCUGUACUUGGUGUUACUGCGAAGGGGGGACGGAGAAGGCUAUGUUGGCCGGGCGACGGUUGUCCCGGUUUAAGCGUGUAGGCUGGUUUUCCAGGCAAAUCCGGAAAAUCAAGGCUGAGGCGUGAUGACGAGGCACUACGGUGCUGAAGCAACAAAUGCCCUGCUUCCAGGAAAAGCCUCUAAGCAUCAGGUAACAUCAAAUCGUACCCCAAACCGACACAGGUGGUCAGGUAGAGAAUACCAAGGCGCUUGAGAGAACUCGGGUGAAGGAACUAGGCAAAAUGGUGCCGUAACUUCGGGAGAAGGCACGCUGAUAUGUAGGUGAAGCGACUUGCUCGUGGAGCUGAAAUCAGUCGAAGAUACCAGCUGGCUGCAACUGUUUAUUAAAAACACAGCACUGUGCAAACACGAAAGUGGACGUAUACGGUGUGACGCCUGCCCGGUGCCGGAAGGUUAAUUGAUGGGGUCAGCGCAAGCGAAGCUCUUGAUCGAAGCCCCGGUAAACGGCGGCCGUAACUAUAACGGUCCUAAGGUAGCGAAAUUCCUUGUCGGGUAAGUUCCGACCUGCACGAAUGGCGUAAUGAUGGCCAGGCUGUCUCCACCCGAGACUCAGUGAAAUUGAACUCGCUGUGAAGAUGCAGUGUACCCGCGGCAAGACGGAAAGACCCCGUGAACCUUUACUAUAGCUUGACACUGAACAUUGAGCCUUGAUGUGUAGGAUAGGUGGGAGGCUUAGAAGUGUGGACGCCAGUCUGCAUGGAGCCGACCUUGAAAUACCACCCUUUAAUGUUUGAUGUUCUAACGUUGACCCGUAAUCCGGGUUGCGGACAGUGUCUGGUGGGUAGUUUGACUGGGGCGGUCUCCUCCUAAAGAGUAACGGAGGAGCACGAAGGUUGGCUAAUCCUGGUCGGACAUCAGGAGGUUAGUGCAAUGGCAUAAGCCAGCUUGACUGCGAGCGUGACGGCGCGAGCAGGUGCGAAAGCAGGUCAUAGUGAUCCGGUGGUUCUGAAUGGAAGGGCCAUCGCUCAACGGAUAAAAGGUACUCCGGGGAUAACAGGCUGAUACCGCCCAAGAGUUCAUAUCGACGGCGGUGUUUGGCACCUCGAUGUCGGCUCAUCACAUCCUGGGGCUGAAGUAGGUCCCAAGGGUAUGGCUGUUCGCCAUUUAAAGUGGUACGCGAGCUGGGUUUAGAACGUCGUGAGACAGUUCGGUCCCUAUCUGCCGUGGGCGCUGGAGAACUGAGGGGGGCUGCUCCUAGUACGAGAGGACCGGAGUGGACGCAUCACUGGUGUUCGGGUUGUCAUGCCAAUGGCACUGCCCGGUAGCUAAAUGCGGAAGAGAUAAGUGCUGAAAGCAUCUAAGCACGAAACUUGCCCCGAGAUGAGUUCUCCCUGACCCUUUAAGGGUCCUGAAGGAACGUUGAAGACGACGACGUUG